ensembl:lincRNA
UGGGCCCGUGCAGCAGCUCAGGGGUAUGAGUACUCUGGAGGGAGCCCUCCCGAACUAUCUAGAGGAGGAGAUGGGGAGCACUGCUAACAUGGCAGCUACAGCCUUGUGAUUGGUCCAAGUACAGGCCUGUGAUUGGUGCAGGUCUCCAGGACAGCCUCUGUUGUCAUGCUGGGGAUCCAGUGAGGGGCAGGUCUGGAAUGAAGGAAUCUUCUGGAAGGCUAGGUGUGGGCCCAGAUCCCUCCCUCCCUUCAAAAAGGCAACAGUGGCACCUGAAGACUGAAGUCAGGGAGGGACCUAAGUGGAGUACAGGAGGGUGGCUGUGAGAAAACCAGGGCGACUCUGAGGUCCUUGAAGGAUGCAAGUUGUCUUGGCUCUGGCGGCUCCUGGACAUGUGACCUUGGGCUGAUUUCUGAAGCCUCAGCCUCCUCAUCACCGGUAGGGAGUAGCGGGCUUUCUACCUUACCAGUGCACACUGCACACUGCACUUCCUCACCGGGGCCUUCUCAGGUUCCAGAUGCACACAUCGCUUGCUCUUGCAGGAUAGCAGUGCCAGACAUUAGUGCCGCCCCAAGCAGCCAGUGCCUGGGAAGCUGGAAGCCGAGCGAGAAGUGACUGUGGAGUGAAGUGAAGGCUGCAGGUGCUCAUGUCCUAUAAACGAGCCAGGAGAGAAGAUGGGCCAGGAGGGGACCCCGGAGAGGUGCCAGGUCCUGUCAUGUGGCCCCACACAUCAAGGAUUCUCAUCAGAAACUCUCUGAUCACUUGUUCAGAGACAUCAAAUAUCUCUCCAACUAGAAGAUUUUAAAAGAACUAUUUGGUUUUGCAGGACAUAGAACCAAAGCCCCGGGGUUUUCAGUCCCUUAGCACUGAGUAGACCAUGGCAACCCUGACACCACAUUUUGUAAACGGAGACUGUGGUCACCCCAGCUAAGCUUCUCCCUCUCUCCCUCCUCCCUGACAAGCUCGCUAAAGUUUCCUCUUCAAGCCCAGACCACACCUCUUCCCUUCCGGCCUCCCUGGACACUCAUUAAUUCAACAAAUAUUUAUUGAAACCAAUAAAACCGCAUCAAGUCAAAAGCAGCUCAUUGGACUCCUUUUCCUCCUUCACUUCCACAACUACUUUCCGGGCUGGGACAAAGAAAGUGUAGAAUAGAUUUGGGCCUUGGGACUCUCCAGUGAGGCCCUCGGCCAUUUCCUGAUGGAUUCCCACGCAGCAUCGCCUUCCUCACCUACUCCCAGAUUCCUCCUAAAGAUGCCUGUGUAAAAGGUGGCCAGGUUUCUGUCUGGGUUUAAAACAAAGUCCAAGGCUGGAAGACAGCACAGUGGUAGAACAUGUGCUUGGCACACGAGGCCCAGGGGUCAGAUCCCAGCAUAGGAGAGAGAGAGAGAGAGAGAACCCCAACAUGUGUGUGCGCAUGCACACACAUGCGCGCGCACACACACACACACACACACACACACACCGGAAGUCCAGAUCCUUACAACUGCUGAUGGGAAUGAAAACGGGUGCAAGCGCUUUGGAAAGCAGCUUGGCGGUGCAUGUCUUAGAAAGUUAGACACACACUUAAUAUUACCAGCCCUGUGCUCUUGAGUAUCCCCCAAGUGCAACGAAAGGGUAUAUCUACAUAAAGACCCACAUGUGAGGGUCUAGCCACUUAAUGUGUGAUAGCUGCACAUUGGAACAAGCCAAGUACCCACCAAUCGCUAAAUGCACACACAAAACUGCAGCACAUCAUACAAGGGACUAGGGCUCAGGAAUCAAAAGGAAUGAGUUACCGUUGGCAACAACAUAAAGCUCUAGAAAAUGCAAACUAACCUCUAAUAAUAAAAAGCAGAUCAGGGGUUGCCUGGUGGGGAAGCAGAGAAGUAGAAAGGAAGGGGUAUCUUGGGGGAGAAAAGGCUAAAUUCAUUAUUUUGCUUGUGGUUAUAGUUACGCGGGU